AGGUUUAGCCUCCGGCCUGAAGGAAAAAGUGCGAAUCAAAGCUUCCAGCGUCCUGACCUAAAAGUUCUUGCUGGCUACAACCACAGUGAGUCGGACGUAGCAAACAUGACGUUAUCAAGAAGGUAGCCAAGGCAGUUGUUGACUUAGUCUAAUUCCUUUACCCAAACCAGGGACACAAGUCAAACUGGGGCCCUAUGCUUUGGCAUCCCAUACUGGCUAUCAGAGCCAGACGACAGCAAAAGGUGGGCGUGUCCCAAGUGCUCAGAAUAAUAUAUUUGGCAUGAAGAACGUUGCACAGUGUGGCUUAUCCUGGAGCUGAUUGUGCAAAGAGAUGCUCCAGAGUUUGUCUAAGAGGCUCCCAGUUGUCCUGGGAUGUGUCAUGGGAGGGGAUGAGUAGGUUUUGGGGGCCCGAGGUUUAGCCUCCGGCCUGAAGGAAAAAGUGCGAAUCAAAGCUUCCAGCGUCCUGACCUAAAAGUUCUUGCUGGCUACAACCACAGUGAGUCGGACGUAGCAAACAUGACGUUAUCAAGAAGGUAGCCAAGGCAGUUGUUGACUUAGUCUAAUUCCUUUACCCAAACCAGGGACACAAGUCAAACUGGGGCCCUAUGCUUUGGCAUCCCAUACUGGCUAUCAGAGCCAGACGACAGCAAAAGGUGGGCGUGUCCCAAGUGCUCAGAAUAAUAUAUUUGGCAUGAAGAACGUUGCACAGUGUGGCUUAUCCUGGAGCUGAUUGUGCAAAGAGAUGCUCCAGAGUUUGUCUAAGAGGCUCCCAGUUGUCCUGGGAUGUGUCAUGGGAGGGGAUGAGUAGGUUUUGGGGGCCCGAGGUUUAGCCUCCGGCCUGAAAGAAAAAUUGGGCACCGCCUCCUACAGUGUCAGGGCAUUUUUGGCCAUGCCCUUUAUGUGAACAUCAUAAACGUGCAGACAGAAUUGGAAGGCAGUAUAUAGCAAUUGCAAGUAUUGUGAGGUCAACAUUUGUGAUGCUUCGGGGUGUUGCCUACUAGGGAUUGCAGCCCUCUAGCCUGCACUGCUGCAAAGGGGUUCUUUGGCCAGUAGGGGAUUAAAAGUUAGGCAGCAAGGUGGGGUUUGUGUGCUUGCUCCGGCAGCACAUACGAUAAAUUGGAAUCGAUACAGAGAAGAUUAGCAUGGCCCCUGCGAAAGGAUGACACGCAAAUUCGUGAAGCGUUUCCACAUUUUGAUGUGCCGGUUUUGCCUCGGGGAAAUGCGGGUGAUGCGUGUCCUUCAUAAGUGGCUGGAAUUCCCGGCGUUCAUGUGGCUUUU